AAGUUAGGUGAGAUUACCCAUUGAGUAGUAUAUCAAUAAGCAAAGGAAAAGAAACUUCUAUGGAUUCCCUUAGAAAUGAUGAGCAAAUCAGAGACAACCCAUCUUGAGAAUCAGGUACCCCUGAUAUUCCAAUUUUAGACUAGAGAAGUGUCUUCAGUAGUAAAUUAGGCUUAAGUCCCUUAAAAAGGGGCACCAUCCUGGGUAAGAGCCUUAUCAUGCUAAACCUUGUCACACCAUAAGACAUUGUCUGCAAGUCGAGUUGUUUAGGAAGGCAACCCCAAUUAAGCAAUAAAUUUCAUUGAAGGCUAAAUACGAGUGAGAGACCAAUAGAAAACAAAUACCUCAUAAAAAAGAUGAAAAGGACUUUGAAAAGAGGGUCAAAGAAUGCUUCAAAUGAUCAGGAGGGAUGCAGAUAAGGGCUAGUGAUGUACCUCAAUUGGAUGCAAAAUAGAAUGAGUCAGUCUAUCAAUUAGCUCAAAGUGUGGUUUAAUGCCAAUUAUUGGGACAUCCAAAGCAUAGGCCCUUGAAACACCUAAGGAGAUGUUGCCCUUGUGAUUAUGCAUGUAGCACUCAUAGUCAAGGCAUGCCUUGGCAAUUGCAUGCUCAUGGUACUAACCUACAAGCUCCCCAUUCAACCUAUCUUGAAACAUGAACUAAGGAGUCUAACAUGUAUACAAGUCAACAAGUGAGUAAACUUGUAAGGCACAAAGAAUUUGACUUGGCGAGAUUCCCUCAAGGGAUGCAUAACCAACCAACCUUAAUCUUUUGCAAAGGGCUCGAGUCAGAGCAUGUCUGUUAAGACCCAAAACAUGGUGAACUAUGCCUAAGUAGGGUAAAGCUAAAGGAAAUGUUAGUGAAGGCUCACAAUGAUAUUGACUUGCAAAUUGUUUGACUAACUUGGGCAUAGGAGCAAAGGAUGAAUCAAAUCUUCUAGUAGCUAGUUCACUCCAAAGUCAAUGAUUAAAGACAUUGGGAGCACAAUGCCCUUGACUUGUCCUCAAAUUUUAAAUAAAUAAGACAAUGCGAUUGCUUCAUUGAGCUAUGCUAAGGAAUUAAAAACUCCAAGUGGGCCAUUUUUGGUAAGCAAAACUAACAAUGUAGGAUGAACCAAAAAUCAAGUUAUGGUGCCUAACUACACACUAACCCAAAUCCCACAAAGGGUGUUGGUUAAUAAAGAUAGUGAUGGUAGUCAUGGAAGUUAAAAUCUACGAAGGUGUGUGUAAUGACUCACCUACCAAAGUAAUAAGCCCCAAAAAUGGGUGGCACUAAAGUGCAUGACCCAUACGCAGCCAUCAAGGCAAGGAUUAUGGCCUAAUAAGUAAGAGGGCAUGAUGGUCACUACAAAACCUUAGGCAUGAGCUCGAGUAGAGUGGCCAUCAGUGUAGAUCAUAGUGGUAGUAACAAACAUUUAAAUGAGAACUUUGAAGGCUGAAGAGGGGAAAGGUUCCAUGUGAACAACACUUGGCAUUUAGGUUAAUUAAUCCUAAGAAAUGAGAGAAACCUAUUUGAUAAUGCGUGCACAUGUAAGCUUUGAAAAGGAAUCUAGUUAAAAUUCUUGAAUUAGGAUGUAGUGAUUGAUGACAAUUUUAGGGAGUCUACAAACAUUAGUAGGGGCCUUAAGAACUAUCUUUUCUAUUUAAUAGCCCACCCCUUAGAAACAACUCAAUUGGAGCUAGGGUCCAAUAGUAAAAGAGCACUGUACAUCACAUGAUGUAUGAUGCACCCCUAGUUGCCCUUGAAAAUUUGAAGGAUCAAAUGUGCUUCCUACACCUAGUCAUACUCAUAACCACAUUAGGUCUCCAAAGUGAACAACUUUUGGCCAAUGGAAGAGUGUAGGCAAGGGAAGUCAGCAAAACGGAGUCGUAACAUCAAGAAAAGUAUUAUUUUUAAGGACUAGGCUUGAGGAUCCUAGCCUUAAACCUAUUGACUAUUGGUGGACAACUUGAAUUGCUCCUACACUGAGAAUGGGUUGCUGUGUAUUGGCCAAAGAAAGGACUAGGAAUGAUCCCCUUGAGGGCUUUCCCCAAGCAUCAAAUAGUCAACUUAGAACUAGUGUGGAUAAGGGGAAUCUAACUAUUUAAUUAAAACAAAGCAUUGCAAUGGUCCCUAAAAAUGCUAAUGUAAUGUGAUUUCUACCUAAUGCUCUUAUUAUUAAUGUGAAGAAAUUCAACCAAGCAUGGGUAAAAUGGUAAGAGUAAUUAUGACUUUCUUAAGAUAGCCAAAUGCCUCAUCAUCUAAUUAGUGAUGUGCAAGAAUGGAUUAAUGAGACUCCUAUUAUCCUUAUCUAAUAUCCAGUGAAACCAUAACUAAGGGAACAAACUGGGCAACAUUAGCAAGGAAAGAAGACCUUAUUGAGCUUGACAUUAGUUUGACUUUGUGAAAUGACUUAAAAGGUCUAGGAGAAGUGGGGUGGCACAUCUAUCAAAAGAUAAUGCAAGUGUCUUAAGAUAAGCUUAACAAGAGCAAAAAUCUUGUGUGGAACAAAAGGGUAGAAACUUAUUUGAUUUUAAUUUCUAGUACGAAUACAAACCAUGAAAGCAUGACUUAUUGAUCCUUUAGACAUUUGAAAUUUGAAGCUAAAGGUGUAAUAAAAGUUACCAUAAGGAUAACUAGCUUAUGGCAGCCAAGCGUUCAUAGCGAAGUUGCUUUUUUAAUCCUUUAAUGUUAACUCUUCCUAUCAUUGUGAAGUAGAAUUCACCAAGUGUUGGAUUGUUCACCCACUAAUAAAGAAUGUGAGCUAGGUUUAGAUUGUCAUGAGAUAAGUUCAUUUUACCCUACUAAUGAUGGCAUUACAAUAGUAAUCUAACCUAGUAUUAAAGGAAUCAUUAAUUUGCAUAAUUGGUCAUCGCACUUGUUUGAAAAGCAAAUGGAAUGAAGCUAUUAUGCAUUAGAUUAUGACUAAAUGCCUUUAAGUUAAAAUUUAGGCUAGAAGUGACAUGCACACUCAUUGCUCAAUUGUUAACUCGUAAUGAGGGCCAUAUAGCCCCCAAACACAUGUGUCGUGGGCCAAGCACUCAUAGUAGACAAGUUGUAAUUACC
rnacentral:rRNA from 1 species